rfam:Stegodyphus mimosarum contig42311, whole genome shotgun sequence.
GCUUUCGUGGUGUAACUGGAAGCACGCUCGACCUGUAUUCGGGAGGUCCAGAGAUCGAAUCCCGGCCAGGGCA